rnacentral:rRNA from 1 species
UACGGGGGGAGCAAGCGUUGUUCGGAUUUACUGGGCGUAAAGGGCGCGUAGGCGGCGCAACAAGUCACUUGUGAAAUCUCCGGGCUUAACCCGGAGCGGCCAAGUGAUACUGUCGUGCUAGAGUGCGGAAGGGGCUACUGGAAUUCUCGGUGUAGCGGUGAAAUGCGUAGAUAUCGAGAGGAACACCGGCGGCGAAGGCGGGUAGCUGGGCCGACACUGACGCUCAGGCACGAAAGCAUGGGGAGCAAAAGGG